UACGUAGGGGGCAAGCGUUGUCCGGAAUCAUUGGGCGUAAAGCGCGCGUAGGCGGCCCGGUAAGUCCGCUGUAAAAGUCAAAGGCUCAACCUUUGAAUGCCGGUGGAUACUGUCGGGCUAGAGUCCGGAAGAGGCGAGUGGAAUUCCUGGUGUAGCGGUGAAAUGCGCAGAUAUCAGGAAGAACACCUAUGGCGAAGGCAGCUCUCUGGGACGGUACUGACGCUGAGACGCGAAAGCGUGGGGAGCGAACAGG
rnacentral:rRNA from 1 species